rnacentral:rRNA from 1 species
CAAGGAAUUUUGGGCAAUGGGCGAAAGCCUGACCCAGCGACGCCGCGUGAGGGAUGACGGCCUUCGGGUUGUAAACCUCUUUUCCCAGGGAAGAACAAUGACGGUACCUGGGGAAUAAGCCACGGCUAACUACGUGCCAGCAGCCGCGGUAAUACGUAGGUGGCGAGCGUUAUUCGGAUUUAUUGGGCGUACAGCGUGCGUAGGUGGUCCUUCAAGUCGGAUGUGAAAUCUCCCGGCUCAACUGGGAGGGGUCAUUCGAUACUGUUGGGCUUGAGGGCGGCAGAGGAAGGUGGAACUCCCGGUGUAGUGGUGAAAUGCGUAGAUAUCGGGAAGAACACCAGUGGCGAAGGCGGCCUUCUGGGCCGUUCCUGACACUGAGGCACGAAAGCGUGGGGAGCGA